ACAGCAUUCGGGCCGUUAGUCUACCGAGCACUUUCACCCGCUCGCUAGGAGAUGUUCCCUUUGUCGU
rnacentral:pre_miRNA from 1 species